GGCCUACACAUGCAAGUCUUAGCGGAAACGAGUUAUCUGAACCUUCGGGGAACGAUAACGGCGUCGAGCGGCGGACGGGUGAGUAAUGCCUAGGAAAUUGCCCUGAUGUGGGGGAUAACCAUUGGAAACGAUGGCUAAUACCGCAUAAUGCCUACGGGCCAAAGAGGGGGACCUUCGGGCCUCUCGCGUCAGGAUAUGCCUAGGUGGGAUUAGCUAGUUGGUGAGGUAAUGGCUCACCAAGGCGACGAUCCCUAGCUGGUCUGAGAGGAUGAUCAGCCACACUGGAACUGAGACACGGGUCCAGACUCCUACGGGAGGCAGCAGGGGGGAAUAUUGCACAAUGGGCGCAAGCCUGAUGCAGCCAUGCCGCGUGUGUGAAGAAGGCCUUCGGGUUGUAAAGCACUUUCAGUCGUGA
rnacentral:rRNA from 1 species